AUCAGGCUGACGAGUCCCAAAUAGAACAAAACGCGCGUCCUGGAU
rnacentral:hammerhead_ribozyme from 1 species